AACAAAAGUGCUCUAGUUCUUUCUAGAAAAAUUUGGUCCUCCGAACGACACACUACAAAACAACCAGGUCUAGAGUUGUGGGCCGGCAGGCUCGGAGCCACAAGCCCGCCUGGUCCGACUGCUGCCGGGUUUCACAUUUCUCUUGCCCAGAGUGGGAGAAGCAAGACGUUUGAAAAACAAAAACGAGGGAGGGGAUGAGUCGACCCUGCAGCUUCCGUCAGGCAGACAGUGAUCUCCCCGCGCUCAGGGCUGGCAUCGGAAGAUAGGGGGAAAUCUGUUUUCGAUUUUUUAAAAAAAGACAGGUUGAGGGGUGAAAUACUCUUAAUUUGUAGAGGAAACCAUCUGAUACUGGGCAUAUACUCCUACCUCUCUGAACAUAGCUUUUCGAAGGCCCGACAGGAAUUCUUCAAAUCUCCUGCAAAAGAUUUUCAUGUUUUGUUUUAGCAAACUCCAAGGCCACGAUACUUUGCCGGUUUUCCGGUGAAUAUUUUUCCUUUAAAAAAUAUUUUUGGAUAUUAUCUAAAAUAGCCCUCGUGAUCUUUUUAGCAAAACAUGAGCCAGCCGCCCGGGGCCGAAGGGGCCCCAAGCGCCCGGAUGGAGAGCGGAGGAAACGCAGUCUCUCUCCGAGCCGGGAUGCUGUGUAAACCCGGGCACAGGCCGCCGAGAGAGGCAGACCCGGCUCCCUGAUCCAGCCCAACCCCCGUCCUGCCCAGUGGGCCCCAGGAAGGGGCUUCUGAAUAGCUCCAAAAGGGUACGCGGAGCAAACACCCGUUUGUCCCUUUCUCGGGCGGCGCGGGUCUUGUUGCCGGCCCGUGCCGGCGUUUCUAGCAAAGGAUGGCGCGGCAGCCCGGCGGAGAGCCGAGUGCGAGUGCACCGACCUGCGAGAAAAGGCCAGGAGGUCUGCGCUGCCAGGCCCGGCUGCACCUCGGCCCGGGGCACUUCCUCUCCGCCGUGAAUUUUGGCGACGGGUGUCCAGCCCCGACGGUGGGGUGCCCGGAGAAGACUGGGCCUGAGGAAAACGCGUGGAGAGGCGGCCUGCAGGCCAGAGGAGCGAAAGGGCAAAGAGGGCAGGGAGGCGAACACAGGGGGAGAAGCGGAGACAAAGAGGAGCAAGAGGAGCGGAGGAGAGCGAGGAGGCGCAGAGGGGCGGUGGGCGCUGGCUCAGGGGGCCCCAGCGGGCGCGCGGUCUGGCCGGCUGCGGCGGCCAAGGCGGGCGUCGCGCGUCCCUGCAUCUUCGCAGCCUUCGUGCGCUGGACUCUCAGAGAUCGAGGCGCGAGUGCAGCGCGCCGGUCUUACUGUCGUGGUCCCAGUAAGAGCAAUGCAUCAUGGCGAGCUCGGGCUGCCGGGCGCAGGCGAACUGCAGGCCUGGUUGGACGGACGCUUUAA
rnacentral:lncRNA from 1 species